UUUGAUAUACAAUUGGCAUGUGCUUUACUUCAGAUCUAAGAAGGCUCUGUGUAAUUAUUUUGUAAGCGUUUGAUUGGAAGCAUUAGUACCUAAAGUCUUGGUAGUUCGACGAUACGUUUUAAGGUUUUUGCUUUCAUCCUACUCUGAUUAUUUUAUGAAAUCUGAUGCAGAUUCUUAAAAAGAAACAAGCGUCAGUUCUAA
rnacentral:lncRNA from 1 species